GCCAGAGCUGGAUGGGCUGCGGUGGGCACCCCCUUCAGGCCCAGCCAAGACCUUGGAGGAGGGCCGGGGGCAGGGGAAGCCUGCGCAGAGCUGGUCGUCAGGCACCCCCAGGGUGGGGACCGAGCCUGAACAUGCCGACAAAGGCAUUACAGACACCAGGGCCACAGUCAAGGGGGCCGAUCUCCCCCUGCCCAUCCCAGAGCAGGAAUCAGACUCCUGGGGCGAGGCUCAGGAAUCUGCAUUUCCGAGCACCUCACUGGGGAUUCUGAUGCACAGCGUCGGGAGGGAGUGGGGAGGUCUGCUGCCCCAGCAAGCUCCAGCAGAGCUUGGGAUGGAAACCACAGGCUCACAGCAGGUGCUCAGAGGCCCAGGAAGCUGCCUGUGCCCCCUCCCUGUCCAGCUGAGGCCGAGCCCCUCUCCCGUUCUGAGAUCAUCGCAGCCUCAUUCCCAGCUCAUUCCAUUCAUCUCAGACAAUAAUUAGAAGGUUCAGCUCCUUUGCUAACCUCUCCAGCAAAGAAGUAGCAGUGGGGGCCAGGGAUGAGCCCCAGAGCACAGGGACCCCAUCCCAGGCCGGGGGCCACACUGUGUGCUGAGGGUAAAGGGGACACCCUAGAAGACAUCUGGGUCCCGAGCUCUGAUCGCUGGCCUCACCGGGAAAGGCAGAGCAGUGAGCCACGGAGCAAGGCGGGGGGGCCCUCUUCCCAGAGUAUCGCCUCUACUCCAAGACCUGGGGAAAGGCCCCUUAUUUUAUAUCAAACACACCUUGGAUGUGUCAGGACAAAAUGUGUGGAAUUUUGAAAUAGAACUAAAUGGGGAAGAUCAAAGAACAAAAAUGCCAGUGGCUGGGUGCUUCAGCCUCCGCCAGCAGACACCGUGGGGACACAGAAGCCCUCCCUCCACAGGAGGGGUGCCCCAGGGGAAUCACUGGGAAUCCCGGCUUUUCAGAUAAAGAAGCUGAAACCCAGAGAGCAGUGACCAGCGAGUGUGUGAGAGAACCAGCACCACAUCCCAGGGCCCCCUGUUCCCAAGCUGCUGCCCACACACAGCGGCAGGUGCGACCUGUGAGUCAGGCUGGGAGGGCAGUGAUUUUUUUUGUCUGGUUUUGUUUUUGGCUUCGCACAGUUCCCAGCCUGCAUGCUCUUCCGAGAAGUUGGAGGGGUGGGAGCAGGUCUGUCUGGAUUCGAAUCCAGCUCUGCCACUGCCUCAGGGUGUGUGACUUUGGGCAGCAACACCCCCCACCACCACCUUUGCCUCCAUGGGCCUCGGUUUUCUUGUCCAUAAAGCCUCUCAUGG